rnacentral:lncRNA from 1 species
CUGCGGAGCUCGAGCGGGGGGCGGAGGCGCAGCUGUUCUUUCCCCGCUGCUCCCCGCCCCCCCCCCCCCUCCCGCUUCCCCCGACCUAGUCGUUCUGGGAGCCCGGGGUGCAAAAAAAGAAGAGGAAUUGAGGCGGAGAGCUCGGCGCUAAAUAUAGUGCCCCGCUGGCGCUGCGGGGCGAGCCUGGCUGCGCAGCGCCCGGAGGCCGCGGGCGCCCUGCUCCCCCCGCUGGGCCCGGGCUCCUGCGGAGUUUGCAAAGUGUGAAAAAAAAAAAAAGAAGAAAAAAGCAAAGAGCACCCCACCUGUCAGAGGCACACCCACCUCCUGCAGCCGAGGAGAAGCCCCGCAGCACUGACCAGCGCUGAAUGUCUGCAGAAGGUCCCGCACGGCUCCUCCGCGCCGCCUCACAGGCCUUGUUACACCUGUUUUAAAGAGGAAGCAACUGAGGUCCUGGGAUGUUGGGUGACUUGCCUGCGAUUUCCCAGCGGAUCUGGUGUCUCGUCUCAAGAACUGGAUAUCAGUUAUUAUCUGAGACCUUGGGCGAGUCCCUUGAGCUCUCUUGACUCCAGUUUCCCCGUCUAUAAAAUGGUGAUAAUAAAAUUUGCCCUAUGUACCUAGCUACAUGAGGAACCUUGGAGAGAAUCUAGUGACCAAACCCCUCAUUUUGCAUCAGAGAGAAGGGAGCAAAAUUAGAACCCUGGUGUCCUGGCUGCACUUUACAUGGUGCCAGCCUGUCCUCAGGGAAAAUAAUUGACAGAUAAUGGAUGGAAACAUGCUUUUAAAGCUGCAGAGCCCCAUGAAUGCAUGGCAGUUACUACUCUGACCCAGGUAGCCUCACAGCCUGGUCUAGAAGAUUCCCUCCUCAGGACCUCAGGUCGUCACGUGGAUCGGUAUUACCGAAUCUUGGUACCAGUACCAGAAAGAUGCCACAGUGUGAACACUGU